rnacentral:rRNA from 1 species
UGGGGAAUUUUGGACAAUGGGCGAAAGCCUGAUCCAGCAAUGCCGCGUGUGUGAAGAAGGCCUUCGGGUUGUAAAGCACUUUUGUCCGGAAAGAAAUCCUUGGCUCUAAUACAGUCGGGGGAUGACGGUACCGGAAGAAUAAGCACCGGCUAACUACGUGCCAGCAGCCGCGGUAAUACGUAGGGUGCAAGCGUUAAUCGGAAUUACUGGGCGUAAAGCGUGCGCAGGCGGUUUGCUAAGACCGAUGUGAAAUCCCCGGGCUCAACCUGGGAACUGCAUUGGUGACUGGCAGGCUAGAGUAUGGCAGAGGGGGGUAGAAUUCCACGUGUAGCAGUGAAAUGCGUAGAGAUGUGGAGGAGUACCGAUGGCGAAGGCAGCCCCCUGGGCCAAUACUGACGCUCAUGCACAAAAGCGUGGGGAGCAAACAGGAUUAGAUACCCUGGUAGUCCACGCCCUAAACGAUGUCAACUAGUUGUUGGGGAUUCAUUUCCUUAGUAACGUAGCUAACGCGUGAAGUUGACCGCCUGGGGAGUACGGUCGCAAGAUUAAAACUC